UACGGGGGGGGCAAGCGUUGUUCGGAAUUACUGGGCGUAAAGGGCCCGUAGGCGGCCAACUAAGUCGGAUGUGAAAUCCCCAGGCUCAACUUGGGAACUGCAUCCGAUACUGGAUGGCUUGAAUUCGGGAGAGGGAUGCAGAAUUCCAGGUGUAGCGGUGAAAUGCGUAGAUAUCUGGAGGAAUACCGGUGGCGAAGGCGGCAUCCUGGACCGACACUGACGCUGAGGCGCGAAAGCUAGGGGAGCAAACGGG
rnacentral:rRNA from 1 species